CAAAGGAUAGUUUAAUUGUAGGAUUCCGGUUUUGGGGACCGGGGAUGAAGGUUUAAGUCCUU
rnacentral:tRNA from 1 species